UGGCUCAGUUGGUAGAGUGUAGCACUUGCAAUGCCAAGGAUUGUGGGUUCAAUUCCUGC
rnacentral:tRNA from 1 species